rnacentral:rRNA from 1 species
UACAGAGGUGGCAAGCGUUGUUCGGAAUUACUGGGCGUAAAGGGCGCGUAGGCGGCCAUCUAAGUCAGACGUGAAAUCCCCCGGCUUAACCUGGGAACUGCGUCUGAUACUGGACGGCUUGAGUGCGGGAGAGGGAUGUGGAAUUCCAGGUGUAGCGGUGAAAUGCGCAGAUAUCAGGAAGAACACCCGUGGCUAAGGCGGCUCUCUAGUACGGUACUGACGCUGAGACGCGAAAGCGUGGGGAGCGAACAGG